GAUGAACGCUGGCGGCGUGCUUAACACAUGCAAGUCGAACGAAGCAGAUGAGAAAGCUUGCUUUUUUAUUUCGCUUAGUGGCGAACGGGUGAGUAACGCGUGAGUAACCUGCCCUUCAGUGGGGAAUAACAUCGAGAAAUCGGUGCUAAUACCGCAUAACGUAUUUAUGUCGCAUGACAUUUAUACCAAAGGAUUUAUUCGCUGAAGGAUGGACUCGCGUCCGAUUAGAUAGUUGGUGAGAUAAUGGCCCACCAAGUCAACGAUCGGUAGCCGAACUGAGAGGUUGAUCGGCCACAUUGGGACUGAGACACGGCCCAGACUCCUACGGGAGGCAGCAGUGGGGAAUAUUGGGCAAUGGGCGAAAGCCUGACCCAGCAACGCCGCGUGAAGGAUGAAGGUCUUCGGAUUGUAAACUUCUUUGAUUAGGGAAGAAUUUUUGACCUACCUAAAGAACAAGUCACGGCUAACUACGUGCCAGUAGCCGCGGUAAAAGUCACGUCG
rnacentral:rRNA from 1 species